rnacentral:tRNA from 1 species
GAGGCGCUAGUAAAAUGGAUUUAUUACACUGCUUUGUCAAGGCAGAAUUGCGGGUUUGACCCCCGCGCACCUUA